rnacentral:lncRNA from 1 species
GAUCUGGUAUUGCUGUGAGCUAUGGCGUAGGCCAGCAGCUACAGCUCCAAUUUGACCCCUAGCCUGGGAAUUUCCACCUGCCACAGGUGUGGUCCUAAAAAGCCAAAAAGAAAAAAAUAUUACAGACUCUGUAUUAUUCUCUUAAAUCAGAAUAUUAUUAAGAGAUGAAAGUACGUUGUCAUCUUUUCAAGACCUAGUUGGUGCUUAAUACCUUUUUUGGCCAGUCAAUGAAUUCUUUAAAUUUCAUUUUUAACAACACCAAUGCCCACACUGCCUGCUUUAAUAUUUUCAACAAAUCAUUUGGCUUAUACAAUAUACAUAUAAGGGAGUGAGAAGGAAGGUAAAGAUUUAAACGUUCUGACACAAUCUUCUGUCAGGUUGAUUGCAAUUUAAAUAUGUGCCGAGGCUUUUACAGAUCAAACCCAAGCAUUUGUUCAUUGCCGUGUAAGGAGUGAAGGGGCGGAUUUUUAAUGGGAAAAAAUUAAAGAAAGCUUAUUUAGAAAGGGAUCUGUUUAUUCAGAGAGACAUAAUCUUGCUGAGAAGCAUCUUUUUUUUCCUGCCUGAAUCCAAAAUGUUCCGUCAACAUUAGAUCUAGUGAAAUGUCCCCCUGGGUUGAGGUGUCCCCUUGGCUGGGGAGGCCAUGGACGUCAGCAGGGCCAGAGCCAGCAAAGGAAGGGUGAUCCCCUGAGAGCUGCCGAGGGCGGAACGCCUAAAGGACUUGUAUUCAUGUUCUUACCCUGCCACGGCACAUUACCAUUACCAUUAAAGACUUGGUGGCUUAAAACCACACAAGGUUACUAUCUUACAUUUUGGUGUGUUAGAAUUCUGGCCCAGGUCUCACACAGUGAGAGGACUAUGUUUCCUCGGCAGGCCCUGGGUAGGAUCAGUGGAGGGGAUGGUAGAGCUGCCUACCACAGCGCUCAUGGGAGUGAGGCCUAAUGUUGGGGGGUCAGAGGGCUCUAGAGAAAAGUGGUGACCUCAAGAAAUACAUUCAAAUGAUGGGCAAUGAGUAGGGAGAUCAACUUACCAUAGCCCAGUGGUUAGUUAGUCUGGGGUUCGAGAGGUGAAUACUUGGAAAUGGGACAAGAGGUUAAAAAAGGGGCAGAGAGCCAUGCUUGCCUUUCUGUAUGAAGUUUAUUAGGCAUUAACAGGAGGAAAGGCACACGGGAAGAGAGAGACAAAUAGAACUACGGCAAGAGCAGAAGACCCACCAGCAGAGGGUCAAUGGGAGGUAACAGAGAAGAAGAUUCAUACAGUGGAAUGUGGAACUUAUUAAGUCUGAGAACCUAGCAUAGCUCUCAAACUUCAAGGGUCUAAUAACCACAGGAGUUACUUAUCCCUAUGACAUAAGGAUGAAAUCCAAACCAAGAACUCUGUAAAAAGAGACUGGAGAUUUUGACCACAGUCCAUUUUGGUUUCUGGGGAGAAAAGCCAUUGAAUUAGGCUCACAAGAGGUACCCGUCACAUGCCUGGGAACUUAGUCAACUGCUCUGUCAAUAUGCCUUUAUUCAACUCCUCUAGUCCUGAAUUAAAGAGUUUUCUAUGAGGACUCUGAGUGAGAUCAGUUGAAAACUUGAUCACAACUUAGAGAGAUUGCUAGGUUUUCUUUUUCACCAACACUGGUUCCAUACCAGAUGCUUAAAUAAGUCAGUUCCCUUGGCUUAGAUAUUUUCAUGGAACUCAUUCCUAAGCUUUCACUUCACAAGAAAAACAGCUUUGGACCAAGAUAAUAUUUCUAUAUGGGCUCUUUAAGUAUAAUCUCCAUUUGAAAGGACAUUUUAAAUAGAUUGUCACAUGACUGCUAAAGCUCUUAUUUUUUAGUGAAUUCACCAUCUUUAUAACUCCCUUUCAUGGCACCUAAGGAAUGUUUCCUUUAAUUAAUAAAAAGUAUUUCAAGAAUGGAUCUAGUAAAUAAACUAUUGGAUAAUCAGUAAAUUAUACUUGGGAAUCUCGGAUUUAGUCAGGUGUAAUUUUGCCUACAAGAAUUUGACAGAACACCCUCGAUUCUUGGAAAAUUUCUGAUAAGGAAGAUCCAAUUUGAUUCUCACAUUAAAAUGAUAUCACAAGCAACUCUGCUUGGUCUGUUUAUUCACUGUUGGCAUAAGACCGGUGUUUACAGUAGACACAGUUCCUUUGGGAUCUUAAAUACUCCUAUUUUGAAAAUCACACAGAAGGAGAUGCCUUGGCAGGACUGGAGGUUCACCAAGAACAGGCAAUGGUCAGGCUACUUGGGAUAGAUUUAAUUUGCAGGAGUAAUUGAUCCUUGUAAAAUGGCAAGUUUAUUUCUGGUCAUAACACUCUGACUUUGGAUAACAACUGAAUGCAUUUUAGCAGUACAGCUUUAAAACCAACUUGUGAUCAUUUUAAACCAUACAGUGAUAUCCCCUUAAAAGGAGACCCAAGAGACAAUUUAACAAUUUUCUCCCAAAGCUAAGAGUUUUUCAGUACACAGAGAGCCAUUUCUAGUUGCUAAGAAACCUGUCUUUAACAGUGACCCUCUUUGAUAAACAAAAGCCUCAUGAAUUAUGGUUUCUAAUUUUUGGAUGUAAUUAUGACAUAGCUUUGCUUCCAUUGUAACAAUACCUUGUACCAUCUAUACUACUUAAUAUCUUAAUGCUUUUAUUAUUUAAGUAAGCAAGUAAAUAAAUUUGGGUCAGGACAGUCCUUUCUGAGUCUCAAGAGAGAAAAUAAGACAGAUAAAUGAAAAUGUUUGUAACUGUCUCCAAUACGGGUCCCUUUAAAAACUCAAAAGGAAGUUCCGAGCAAUAUGUUUAAAUAGAACACACUUUGCAUUGACUGACUUGUAUUGUCUGUGCCUUUGAUCACCAUUUAAGAGGACAUGGCUUCAGGCCAGCUAUAGAACACCUAAAAACAACCCUUGAAAGACUCAAGUGAUGUUUUGUCCAGGAAAUCAAACACCUAGCCAAAGGGCAUCAUAAAUAAAUUUGAUCUCUCUUCAGGGGGUGCCCCUGAACAGGCCAUUAGAAAGCUUCUCUUUAAUUCAACUCAUUCUGAGAGGAAACUAAUUAAACCUGCUCUCAGAUAAAGUUGAUUAGGCUGGAAGAAGAGCUGGGAGCUGAGAGACAAGGACUGACACAGCCCUCCAGUGGGGAGAAGGCUGUGGGAAAGUUCUUAAUGCUUGGGUACAAAACGAUUCAAUAGCAAAACUGAGCCAAGCUGUUGUGAAUGUGUGUCAUCCUUAGAUCAGAAGAUAGGAAGGUGCGGGCUGACAGUGGUGCCUCUCCUUUCCUGUACUGCAUCCAUUUUAUUUGGAGAGUUAAAAUCUAGGGACAGUUUGGUGCAGCGUGACACCCCUUAAAAGAUCUGUCAAGCAGAUUAGGUUUUUUCCUUGGCUUUUGUUCCCAAUGUGUUACAGACAGAUACUUUCCCUAAAAAGCAAUGGAAGUGGGCUACUUAAACAUGAAACAGCAGGAGUUCCUGUCAUGGCUCAGCAGUGACAAACCUGACUCGUACCCAUGAGGAUGUAGGUUCGAUCCCUGGCCUCGUUCAGUGGGUUAAGGAUCCAGCAGUGAGCUGUGGUGUAGGUCACAGAUGCGGCUCAGAGCCCCAUGUUGCUGUGGCUGUGGUGUAGGCUGGCAGCUACAGUUCCAAUUUGAUCCUUAGCUUGGAACUUCCAUAGGCUGCAGGUGCGACCCUGAAAGAAAAAAAAGAAAAAACAAAGCAAAAACAUACAAUUUAUAAGCCUCCGUUUUUCAUUAUUAUAUUCGACAUGUAUAAAAUUACUCUAAGUUACUAUGAAAAUGUCCAAAUGUGGACUCCCAAUUCCUGGGCUCAUCUCUUCGAAGAUGAACAAGGGGCUACAGACCAUGCUUGAUGCAUCAUGAUGAUGCUGGCUAGAUUUCUGCUUCAGGCAGACUUCUGUUUAAACCCAUUUGUCACUUAUUAUUUCUGAAACUUGAGGAAGCUCUUUAACAAUGCACAAGUAAUCACAGAAUCAGCACACACUUCCUAAUCUUACUAGUAUCAGGUAUAAGAUCCAAGAUCCAUCUUCUAAAUGUUAAAAUACUGAGAUAUCCCUAAAUUCAUUUAUUUGUUUUUGCCACUUGAAAUUGUUAUCAGAAGAGAGACCUUCUCUAGUUUUCCCCAUUUCUUUAACGAUAUAAUUUUAAUUAUAGAUGCAAAUCAAACCAAAGCUUGCUCACACCAUAUCCCAGGAAGGGUCAAAAGCUAGAAAUAGUUGGGAGACUGGAAAAACAGUCUUGUUUCAAUAGAACUUAAAAUGAGCAACUCAAGUUCCCCAGAUGAUGUUUUAGGUGACCUCAGGCUGACCUGAGGGGAGAGUAACGAAUAGUGGAGAAUUCAAUAAAUAUUUGCAGAAUGAAUGUUAGGAAGAGUAACUUUCUGAGUUGAUGACAGAUGUGUCCACUGGGUGGAAACAUAGAUGAUAUGUUAUUUCUUACACAUUAUUAUUUUACUAUCUCAAGCAUAUGGUCUUCAAGUAUACGCUGGCCUCCUCAUUGGACCAGGAGUCUUCCAAACAUGAUUAGCCAUGAAACCUAUCUUCAAACACAACCUUAAAUGGAAGCCCACUGUAUAAAACUGAUGGAAUCACAGUUGUGUUUGUUGAAGCAGUCAGAAGUGGAAGAAUUACAGCUUGGUCUAUUUUGCCUUCCCAAUUCAGAAUGCCUAGGACACCAGAGCACGAUUGGAAAAUCUUUGCACUCAAAUUCCACUGAACUCCAUAGGAAGUCCAAAAGAUUAGUCAAGUGAGCGGUCAAGUUGCUGAAAAUAGCCAAGCGUUGUUCUCAUUUAUAAUAGGCAGGUAUCCCCUGAGCUUUCAGCUCUCUGUUGAGUCAACUCCAAGAUAUUGCCAUUUACUGCCCUGCCUCGCAAUAGUCUACUACCAUUUUGCCCUGCAUGAGACCAUCUUUUCUCAGUCAUUCUUUAACUCUUUCCUUGUAUGCGAGUAUGUGAAUUCCACCCAAUGUCUACUCUGCCACAAACUAGCACACUUUUUUAUUCAAAAGCCCAUAACAGGAGUUCCUGUCACAGCUCAGUGAUUAAUGAACCAGACUAGUAUCCAUGAGGACAUGAGUUCAGUCCCUGGCUUCACUCAAUGGGUUAAGGAUCUAGUUUUGCCUAGAGCUGUGGUGCAGAUGGCAGAUGUGGCUUGGACACUGCAUUGCUGUGGCUGUGGCAUAGGCCAGCAGCUACAGCUCCAAUUUGACCCCUAGCCUGGAAACCUCCAUAUGCUGCAGAUGUGGCC